rnacentral:rRNA from 1 species
GAUGAACGCUGGCGGCGUGCCUAAUACAUGCAAGUCGAACGAACAGAUCAGGAGCUUGCUCCUCUGACGUUAGCGGCGGACGGGUGAGUAACACGUGGAGAACCUACCUAUAAGACUUGGCUACCUUCGGGAAACCGGCGCUAAUACCAGAUAAUAUAUUGAACCGAAUGAUUCCGUAGUGAAAGACGGUUUUGCUGUCGCUAGUAGAUGGAUCCGCGCCGCAUUAGCGAGGUUGUAAGGUAACGGCUUACCACAGCAACGAUGCGUAGCCGACCUGAGAGGGUGAUCCGCCACACUGGAACUGAGACACGGUCCAGACUCCGACGGGAGGCAGCAGUAGGGAAUCUUACGCAAUGGGGGAAAGCCUGACGGAGCAACGCCGCGUGAGUGAUGAAGGUCUUCGGAUCGUAAAACUCUGUUAUUAGUGAAGAACAAAUGUGUAAGUAACUAUGCACGUCUUGGCGGUACCUAAUCAGAAAGCCACGGCUAACUACGUG